rnacentral:rRNA from 1 species
GAUGAACGCUGGCGGCGUGCCUAAUACAUGCAAGUCGAGCGAACAGACGCGGAGCUUGCUCCGCUGACGUUAGCGGCGGACGGGUGAGUAACACGUGGAUAACCUACCUAUAAGACUGGGAUAACUUCGGGAAACCGGAGCUAAUCCCGGAUAAUAUAUUGAACCGCAUGGUUCAAUAGUGAAAGACGGUUGUGCUGUCACUUAUAGCUGGAUCCUGGCGGCAUUGGCUGGUUGGUAGGGUAACGGCUUACCAAGGCGACGAUGCGUAGCCGAACUGAGAGGGGGGUCGGCGACACUAGAGGUGGAACGCGGACAAGGGUACUACGGGAGGGACCAGUAGCGUAUGGGACGCAGUGGGCGAGAGCAUGACAGAACGACGCCAAGUGUGAGGUGGAAGUGUUGGGUGCGGAAUGCUGGCUUAUGGGGUAAAAACAACUGUGUCCGGAGAUGAGCAGGGAUUGACGGUACCGAAUCAGGAAGCAACGGCUAACUACGUG